AGACCUGGAAAGGAGGAAGCGGGGAAGGAAGGUUGUCCUGUCGGGCUGGGGGCUCCCGGGAAUCCGGAGGCCAGCAGUGGAACCGCAAGGCUCUACAGGGCAGAUCUGCCUCCCGUGCUGUCUCAGCUACGCCGAGUCGUUGGCUCAGGGCGGAGGAUUUUCCUAUUGGCCGCGUUAUUUGAAUGGAAUGGAGGAUAGGUCGUGAAGUAGGUGCUGCUGGUUGAUCUUUCUAAGGAACUCAGAUGAACUUGGGCAUGUCAGAAUUAAUAACCUUUUAAAAGUGGGGUCUGUGUGGCCGAGGGUUUUAAUGGGUGGAACCAAGCAGAGGGGUUCACCCAAGCCAUCUUUGGGUGCUUCCAUGGGAAAGAAGGAUUUCACUGAGAAUAAUAAGUGACACCAAGGCUCAAAAGAAUGAGAGAGAAGUCUGUUGGUCUCUUGAACAGCAGGGAUUUGCUCACAGAUCUCUGGAAGUAGCCAGAAUGUGACAGGAUCUCAAAAUGAAUGGCUGCUUCAUGGAGGCUGGAACAUAAGCCUGGGACUCCCAGUAGCCAAACAUAGCUGUGCCACAAACAUGGCUGAAAUGUAGCAGUUUGGUGGAUCCGAGGUCAGUCAUUGAAAAUGUAUUGAUUGGCACCUAUUCUUUGUGAAUCAUUAUUCUGGGUUCUGGGGUCACAGGAGCAAAUGAAACAAAUGAAGUACCUGCCAUCAAUGAGCUUACAUUCUAGUAAAGAGGGACAGAAAAUGAAUACAUUUUAAAUGAAUAAAUUCAGAUACCGCUAAAUGUAGUGAAGAAAAAAAUUGGGCUAAAGAGAGCGAAAAACAAUUUCUGAAGUUACUAGCAGUGAAGGGUGGGGGAAGAGAAGAGACGGAUUUAACCAGGAAAGAUCUGAGCUGAGGGUGUAUCCAGGUUUUCUGGAACCUGAUAUUAUUACAGUUUAGAGAUUCUUCUUCAAGAAAAAGAAUUUAAAAUUACAAAUAAUUAACUUCAGGGCCUUGGAAGGGGUCCACUCAAGUGAACAGAAAAUUAUGUGCUCCUUAUAAAAUAUAUGAUUUAAAACUACAACAGUGGCUGGCCGUGGUGGCUCAUGCCUGUAAUCCCAGCACUUUGGGAGGCUGAGGCAGGUGGAUCGCGAAGUAAAGAGAUCGAGACCAACCUGGCCAACAAUGGUGAAACCCCGUCUCUACUAAAAAUACAAAAAUUAGCUGGGCGUGGUGGCAUGUGCCUGGUGUCCCAGCUACUUGGGAGGCAGAGGCAGGAGAAUCGCUUGAACCUGGGAGGUGGAGGUUGCAGUGAGCCGAGAUUGUGCCACUGCACUCCAGCCUGGCGACAGAGUGAGACGUCUCAAAAAAAAAAAAAAAAAAAAACUAUAACAGUAAUUGAGUGUAUAAACACUCAAUUUGUUUCCUCAGCUAGAUCUAGAACCAAGGAUUCUAGAAAAUAUGUGUCAAAACCCAGCUCUCAGUUUUGUUAGCUAUCACUUAACAUCAGUUUAAAUCAUUCAUUUAUUCACCAUUCAUUAAGCCGGUAUUUAUGAGUACCCUAUUGGUACUCUGUAUGUACUAGUGCUAAAACUAUAACAAUGUAAACACUCAUUCCCUGCAAUCAACAAUAUAUACUGGCCAAAGAUUCAAUUCCAUGAUCAAGCAUAGCAGCAUUAAUAGUAGAGCAACCUCCAUUAUGUGCCUAAGCAUUACCUAAAUUUUAGCCUGAGUUUAACCAGGUGUUUUAGAUCAAAUAUCACUUUACUAGAAACAUGGGAGAUAGAAGAACAUAUUAAAUGAUACCACACAUACUUAAUCAAACAAACCUGAAAUGUAGGAUAAUCUCUAGGGCACUGGCCUGGUUUCUUUUAAAAAGUCAGUGUUAUAAAAAAUUUUAAAUAAAAAUGUUCUAGAUUAAAAGAUACUGAAAAUCAUAAUGACUAAUUAAGCUUGUAAACUUUGAUUAAGUUCCGGUUUGGAAAAAAGUUGUAUGUAAUUGAUUAUUGGAAAAAUUGAAUAUGGAUUGUGUUUUAGAUGAUAUUAAGGAAUUUUUGUUAUUUCUGUUCUAAGAUGUAAUAAUGUGAUUAUGUAGGAAUGUAUCCUUAAUUUAAGGAGAUGAGUAUGUUAAAUAUGAUGUUGCAACUUCCUUUCAAAUGAUUUCAUGAAAUAAAAAAUAAAUACAUACAAAUGCAUGUAAGUAGACAGUGCAAGUUUGGCAAGAUUUUAAUUUCUGAACUUAGGUAACAGGUAUCCAAGUGUCUGUUACUAUUUUUUCAGCUUUGCUGUUUGAUAUUUUUUACAAUGAAAUAUUGAGGGAGAAAAAGAAUGGAUUGUGGGGAGACUGUGUUGUGAUUCUCUAAUAGAGUCAAUGCCAUUACUCCAGAGAUAUUUGGACAUGUGGGUGAGGUGUUUUUGAUUAUCAAAAUGAUUGUGGAACACUACUGUCGUUUAGUGAGGAAGUGAGUAAUAAAUAACUUGUGAUGUGUGGGAAUUUUCCAAACAACAACUAAGUACCCUUCCCAAAAUGCUAAUAACUCCCCUGUUGAGAAAUACUAAAAUUAAACCAAUAAAUAGCUCACACAAAAAAUAUUCCAUUGACCUUAUAUACAACUCUAAUGUUUGUUCUCCAAUUCACAAAAAAGUACUCCUGAUAAAGAGUCAUUUAUAUUCAUGGCUUCCAUAUCCAUGUUUUCUUUCUUUUUUUUUAUUAUACUUUUAAGUUCUAGGGUACACGUGCACAACGUGCAGGUUUGUUACAUAGGUAUACAUGUGCCAUGUUGGUUUGCUGCACCCAUCAACUCAGCAUUUACAUUAGGUAUUUCUCCUAAUGCUAUCCCUCCCCCAGUCCCCCAACCCCCAACAGGCCCCAGUGUGUGAUGUUCCCUGCCCUGUGUCCAAGUGUUCUUAUUGUUCAAUUCCCACCUAUGAGUGAGAACAUGUGGUGUUUGGUUUUCUGUCCUUGUGAUAGUUUGCUGAGAAUGAUGGUUUCCAGCUUCAUCCAUGUCCCUGCAUCCUUUUUUAUGGCUGCAUAGUAUUCCAUGGUGUAUAUAUGCCACAUUUUCUUAAUCCAGUCUAUCACUGAUGGACAUUUGGGUUGGUUCUAAGUCUUUGCUAUUGUGAAUAGUGCCACAAUAAACAUACGUGUGCAUGUGUCUUUAUAGUAGCAUGAUUUAUAAUCCUUUGGGUGUAUACCCAGUAAUGGGAUCGCUGGGUCAAAUGCUAUUUCUAGUUCUAGAUCCUUGAGGAAUCACCACACUGUCUUCCGCAAUGGCUGAACUAAUUUACACUCCCACCAACAGUGUAAAAGCGUUCCUAUUCUCCACAUCCUCUGCAGCAUCUGUUGUUUCCUGACUUUUUUUUUUUUUUUUUUUUUGAGAUGGAGUCUUACUCUGUCGCCCAGGCUGGAGUGCAAUGGCACCAUCUCCGGUCACUGCAGACUCCACCUCCCGGGUUCACGUCAUUCUCCUGCCUCAGCCUCCCAAGUAGCUGGGACUACAGGCACCGGGCACCACGCCUGGCUAAUUUUUUUUUUUUUUUCGUAUUUUUAGUAUAGGCGGGGUUUCACCGUGUUAGCCAGGAUGGUCUUGAUCUCCUGACCUCGUGAUCCGCCUGCCUUGGCCUCCCAAAGUGCUGGGAUUACAGGCAUGAGCCACCGCGCCCGGCCUGUUUCCUGACUUUUUAAUGAUGACCAUUCUAACUGGCGUAAGAUGGUAUCUCACUGUGGUCAUGAUUUGCAUUUCUCUAAUGACCAGUGAUGAUAAGCAUUUUUUCAUGUGUCUGUUGGCUGCAUGAAUGUCUUCUUUUGAGAAGUGUAUGUUCAUAUCCUUUGCCCACUUUUUGAUGGGGUUGUUUUUUUCUUGUAAAUUUGUUUAAGUUCUUUGUAGAUUCUGGAUAUUAGCCCUUUGUCAGAUGAGUAGAUUGCAAAAAUUUUCUCCCAUUCUGUAGGUUGUCUGUUCACUCUGAUGGCAGUUUCUUUUGCUGGGCAGAAGCUCUUUAGUUUAAUUAGAUCCCAUUUGUCUAUUUUUGCUUUUGUUGCC
rnacentral:lncRNA from 1 species